GAAAUGCGAUAAGUAAUGCGAAUUGCAGAAUUUUGUGAAUCAUCGAAUCUUUGAACGCACAUUGCGCCCCCUGGCAUUCCGGGGGGCACGCCUGUUCGAGCGCCGUCAUCCACUGAGGCCCAGCCUUGCGUUGGCGGAUCCCCGGGAGGGGACUGCCGAAACCGAUGGCGCCGGCGCGCGGCGAGUAGUAGCACACUGCUGGCGAACCGCGCGGCGGCAGCCCGUGAGCGACAGUUUGGCCUCGGAUCAGGCGGGGAUACCCGCUGAACUUAA
rnacentral:misc_RNA from 1 species